UUUGGUUAAGUUAGAAAGGGCGCACGGUGGAUGCCUUGACACUAGGAGUCGAUGAAGGACGGGACUAACGCCGAUAUGCUUCGGGGAGCUGUAAGUAAGCUUUGAUCCGAAGAUUUCCGAAUGGGGAAACCCACCAUACGUAAUGGUAUGGUAUCCUUAUCUGAAUACAUAGGGUAAGGAAGACAGACCCAGGGAACUGAAACAUCUAAGUACCUGGAGGAAGAGAAAGCAAAUGCGAUUUCCUGAGUAGCGGCGAGCGAAACGGAACAUAGCCCAAACCAAGAGGCUUGCCUCUUGGGGUUGUAGGACAUUCUAUACGGAGUUACAAAGGAACGAGGUAGACGAAGCGACCUGGAAAGGUCCGUCGUAGAGGGUAACAACCCCGUAGUCGAAACUUCGUUCUCUCUUGAAUGUAUCCUGAGUACGGCGGAACACGUGAAAUUCCGUCGGAAUCUGGGAGGACCAUCUCCCAAGGCUAAAUACUCCCUAGUGAUCGAUAGUGAACCAGUACCGUGAGGGAAAGGUGAAAAGCACCCCGGAAGGGGAGUGAAAGAGAUCCUGAAACCGUGUGCCUACAAAUAGUCAGAGCCCGUUAACGGGUGAUGGCGUGCCUUUUGUAGAAUGAACCGGCGAGUUACGAUCCCGUGCGAGGUUAAGCUGAAGAGGCGGAGCCGCAGCGAAAGCGAGUCUGAAUAGGGCGUUUAGUACGUGGUCGUAGACCCGAAACCAGGUGAUCUACCCAUGUCCAGGGUGAAGUUCAGGUAACACUGAAUGGAGGUCCGAACCCACGCACGUUGAAAAGUGCGGGGAUGAGGUGUGGGUAGCGGAGAAAUUCCAAUCGAACCUGGAGAUAGCUGGUUCUCCCCGAAAUAGCUUUAGGGCUAGCCUUAAGUGUAAGAGUCUUGGAGGUAGAGCACUGAUUGGACUAGGGGUCCUCAUCGGAUUACCGAAUUCAGUCAAACUCCGAAUGCCAAUGACUUAUCCUUAGGAGUCAGACUGCGAGUGAUAAGAUCCGUAGUCAAAAGGGAAACAGCCCAGACCGCCAGCUAAGGUCCCAAAGUGUGUAUUAAGUGGAAAAGGAUGUGGAGUUGCUUAGACAACUAGGAUGUUGGCUUAGAAGCAGCCACCAUUUAAAGAGUGCGUAAUAGCUCACUAGUCGAGUGACUCUGCGCCGAAAAUGUACCGGGGCUAAAUACACCACCGAAGCUGCGGAUUGAUACCAAUGGUAUCAGUGGUAGGGGAGCGUUCUAAGGACAGUGAAGUCAGACCGGAAGGACUGGUGGAGUGCUUAGAAGUGAGAAUGCCGGUAUGAGUAGCGAAAGACGGGUGAGAAUCCCGUCCACCGAAUGCCUAAGGUUUCCUGAGGAAGGCUCGUCCGCUCAGGGUUAGUCAGGACCUAAGCCGAGGCCGACAGGCGUAGGCGAUGGACAACAGGUUGAUAUUCCUGUACCACCUCUUUAUCGUUUGAGCAAUGGAGGGACGCAGAAGGAUAGAAGAAGCGUGCGAUUGGUUGUGCACGUCCAAGCAGUUAGGCUGAUAAGUAGGCAAAUCCGCUUAUCGUGAAGGCUGAGCUGUGAUGGGGAAGCUCCUUAUGGAGCGAAGUCUUUGAUUCCCCGCUGCCAAGAAAAGCUUCUAGCGAGAUAAAAGGUGCCUGUACCGCAAACCGACACAGGUAGGCGAGGAGAGAAUCCUAAGGUGUGCGAGAGAACUCUGGUUAAGGAACUCGGCAAAAUGACCCCGUAACUUCGGGAGAAGGGGUGCUUUCUUAACGGAAAGCCGCAGUGAAUAGGCCCAAGCGACUGUUUAGCAAAAACACAGCUCUCUGCGAAGCCGUAAGGCGAAGUAUAGGGGGUGACACCUGCCCGGUGCUGGAAGGUUAAGGAGAGGGGUUAGCGUAAGCGAAGCUCUGAACUGAAGCCCCAGUAAACGGCGGCCGUAACUAUAACGGUCCUAAGGUAGCGAAAUUCCUUGUCGGGUAAGUUCCGACCCGCACGAAAGGUGUAACGAUUUGGGCACUGUCUCAACCAGAGACUCGGUGAAAUUAUAGUACCUGUGAAGAUGCAGGUUACCCGCGACAGGACGGAAAGACCCCGUGGAGCUUUACUGUAGCCUGAUAUUGAAUUUUGGUACAGUUUGUACAGGAUAGGCGGGAGCCAUUGAAACCGGAGCGCUAGCUUCGGUGGAGGCGCUGGUGGGAUACCGCCCUGACUGUAUUGAAAUUCUAACCUACGGGUCUUAUCGACCCGGGAGACAGUGUCAGGUGGGCAGUUUGACUGGGGCGGUCGCCUCCUAAAGUGUAACGGAGGCGCCCAAAGGUUCCCUCAGAAUGGUUGGAAAUCAUUCGUAGAGUGCAAAGGCAUAAGGGAGCUUGACUGCGAGACCUACAAGUCGAGCAGGGACGAAAGUCGGGCUUAGUGAUCCGGUGGUUCCGCAUGGAAGGGCCAUCGCUCAACGGAUAAAAGCUACCCCGGGGAUAACAGGCUUAUCUCCCCCAAGAGUCCACAUCGACGGGGAGGUUUGGCACCUCGAUGUCGGCUCAUCGCAUCCUGGGGCUGUAGUCGGUCCCAAGGGUUGGGCUGUUCGCCCAUUAAAGCGGUACGCGAGCUGGGUUCAGAACGUCGUGAGACAGUUCGGUCCCUAUCCGUCGUGGGCGUAGGAAAUUUGAGAGGAGCUGUCCUUAGUACGAGAGGACCGGGAUGGACGCACCGCUGGUGUACCAGUUGUUCUGCCAAGGGCAUAGCUGGGUAGCUAUGUGCGGAAGGGAUAAGUGCUGAAAGCAUCUAAGCAUGAAGCCCCCCUCAAGAUGAGAUUUCCCAUAGCGUAAGCUAGUAAGAUCCCUGAAAGAUGAUCAGGUUGAUAGGUUCGAGGUGGAAGCAUGGUGACAUGUGGAGCUGACGAAUACUAAUAGAUCGAGGACUUAACCAUAUAA
rnacentral:rRNA from 1 species